GCGCACUUAGCUCAAAUGGUAAGAGCAUCACUCUUGAAAGUUGAGGUUGUGGGUUUCAUUCCCACAGUGCACA
rnacentral:tRNA from 1 species